rnacentral:rRNA from 1 species
GACGAACGCUGGCGGUGUGCCUAAGGUAUGCAAGUUGUGCGGCAGCAUGCUUCUCACUGAGGUUCGAAAACAAUAAGUCAAGUAAUAAUGCUUAAUGAAUAAUCAAUGCGAUUAAUGCAUUGAAUAAUCUAAAUCAUAAACCUAUUCAUUGAACAUUGACACUUGAAGAUUGAAUAUUUUCGAACUUGAGUGAGAAGUGAUGGCGAGCGGCGGACGGCUGAGUAACGCGUGGGAACAUACCCCGAAGUGAGGGAUAAUUCCGAGAAAUCGGGACUAAUACCGCAUAUGCUCUAAGGAGUAAAGCAGCAAUGCGCUUCGGGAAUGGCCUGCGUCUGAUUAGCUUGUUGGUGAGGUAAUAGCUCACCAAGGCGACGAUCGGUAGCUGGUCUGAGAGGAUGAUCAGCCAGACUGGGACUGAGACACGGCCCA